UACGGGGGGUGCGAGCGUUGUCCGGAAUCACUGGGCGUAAAGGGCGCGUAGGUGGCGUCGUAAGUCUGUGGUGAAAGCCCGGAGCUCAACUCCGGGUCUGCCGCGGAUACUGCGAGGCUUGAGUGCUGUAGAGGGGGGUAGAAUGCCGGGUGUAGCGGUGGAAUGCGUAGAGAUCCGGCAGAAGACCGGUGGCGAAGGCGGCCCCCUGGGCAGUAACUGACACUGAGGCACGAAAGCGUGGGGAGCAAACAGG
rnacentral:rRNA from 1 species